ensembl:lncRNA
CUACCAGCUGAUUCCUUUCUAGCAAUGUAAUGCUUCACCGUCAGCUGACUGACACAAGAAGAAAAAGAGAGAUAUUAACACUGUCUUAGCUGAAACCAGGACACAAUUCUAGCUUCGUAAGUGUGACUGGAACUUUUAUGAUCACCAGAGGCAUUCAUUGUUACAUCACUGAUGCUGGGAGUUCUGAAAUGACGUAGCUGACAGAUCUGCCAUGAUAUCCCAGAUGGCUGAGUGAUUCAAGGAUAACACAACAGAAUACUGACUGCAAGAAAUUUAAGCUAUCCACAUGAUGCACCAGAAACAGUUCCACUCAUGGGCAGGGACAUCUUCCACUAGAACAGACUGUUCAAACCCCCGUCCAACCUGGCUUUGAACACUUCCAGGGAAGGAGCAUAAACAACUUCUCUGGGCAACCACUUCCACUGCCUCAGCAUAGUCAAUACUGAAGCAAUGCAGAGAUAUAUUCAAUGUUAAGGUGUGAAACAACUUCCCUCUCCUGUGAGAAAGACAGUGCCAUCCAGGAUAAAAGUUGGGAGGUUCAGUACAGCAAUUCCAGCCAUGCAGUGCACAAUUCUAGGAAUUGACUGUCGUUGAUACAAAUGAAAAAUGCAGUUAAUACAUAAAAUAUUCAUAUCACUUACAAAAGAAGAAGAAAGUGAAAAAGCAAGAGGAUCAUAUUAUCUUACAGAUCAAAGGAGCACAGAUGGACAAGGCCAGGGGUAACGAGAGAGAGAGAGAGAGAGAGAGAGAGAGAGAGAGAGAGAGAGAGAGAUAAGCUGCUGCUAAUGGCAGGGAAACGGUCUUUUUGUGUGGACUUAUCUCGAGGAAGAUGGCCAUCUCAGGAGGUAUGCACAGGACUCUUGCUCAAGCACCCAGGAAUGUCACGUAGGCAGGAGAAAAUGGAGGAUAAAAGAGGGUCCAACAACCACGGCAAUGGUAGAGGCUUAUCUCUCACCACGACAGACUUGAGGGGUUCUCUGCCAUCUGAUCCUUCACCACAACACAGAGGCUGAUCUCUCAUGAUCUCUCACCACGACACGAGCUUCCUGCCUUCAGAUCCUUCUCUACGGACCGUUUGCUGACGGACUUCCCUGGGCCUGCUACCUGAGACCUGCUGCUUCCUCCCUGACCUGCACCCUCUCGUUGCCCAAGACCGGCCUCGCUGCUCCUGCCCUUCGGCCUCGGACCGUCGGAACGUCGUGCAAUGGGACUGCUGCUGGAUCCUGGUGGUGACUAUCCCCUCUUUACGCAAUUCAUGCCUCUUUCUAUCUUUUCUAUCGCUCGCCUUCCCUUCCCCAUCACCCCAAUCCUUAAUAGUGUCCGUCUUCCCCUUUCCCCAUCUCCCUUAUUAACAUUUGUAAUAAACUGGUCGGAC